CAUCCUGACACCACAGCCCAGGGUUGGUUACUGCCUCUGUCUCCAGCAUCCACACAAGCACCAUGAAGAGGCUGCUGUGCUUUCUGCUGGGGCUGCUGUGCUCCCAGCUUUGCUGGGUGGAAGGGCAGCAAGUGGAGCAGAGUCCUGUGUCCUUGGUUCUGCAGGAGGGAGAGAGUGCAGAGCUGCAGUGCAACUUUUCCACCACUGCAACCCAAAUGCAGUGGCUUCACCAAAUUCCUGGGGGACAUCUCAUCAGCCUGCUCUCCAAUCCUUCUGGAACAAAGCAGAGUGGAAGACUGAAGUCCACGACAGUCAUUCAGGAACGUCGCAGCUCUUUGUACAUUUCCUCCUCCCAGACCACAGACUCAGGAACUUAUUUCUGUGCUAUGAAUGCACAGUGCUUCACACACACCUGCAACCAGAACACAAACCUUCAGAAGGGUGGGUGAGGCCUCUCCCAGUCACAA